CCUACGGGUGGCAGCAGUGAGGAAUAUUGGUCAAUGGACGAGAGUCUGAACCAGCCAAGUCGCGUGAAGGAUGACUGCCCUAUGGGUUGUAAACUUCUUUUAUCUGGGAAUAACAUGUUCCACGUGUGGGAUUUUGUAUGUACCCUAUGAAUAAAGCACGGCUAACUCCGUGCCAGCAGCCGCGGUAAUACGGAGGAUCCGAGCGUUAUCCGGAUUUAUUGGGUUUAAAGGGAGCGUUGGUGGAUUGUUCAGUCAGUUGUGAAAGUUUGCGGCUCAACCGUAAAAUUGCAGUUGAAACUGGCAGUCUUGAGUACAGGAGAGGUGGGCGGAAUGCGUGGUGUAGCGGUGAAAUGCUUAGAUAUCACGAAGAACUCCGAUUGCGAAGGCAGUUCACUGGACUGCAACUGACACUGAGGCUCGAAAGUGUGGGUAUCAAACAGGAUUAGAUACCCCAGUAGUC
rnacentral:rRNA from 1 species